AUUUCAGUAGUUUACCAUAAAACACUGGUCUUGUAAACCAGAAACGAGGAACACUACUCCCCCUGAAAUA
rnacentral:tRNA from 1 species